CCUACGGGAUGCAGCAGUCGGGAAUAUUGGACAAUGGGGGAAACCCUGAUCCAGCCAUGCCGCGUGUGUGAAGAAGGCUCUAGGGUUGUAAAGCACUUUUAGUAAGGAGGAAGGCUCAGUAGUUAAUACCUGCUGGGAUUGACGUUACUUACAGAAAAAGCACCGGCUAAUUUCGUGCCAGCAGCCGCGGUAAUACGAAAGGUGCAAGCGUUAAUCGGAAUUACUGGGCGUAAAGCGCGCGUAGGCGGCUUAGUAAGUUAGAUGGGAAAGCCCCGGGCUCAACCUGGGAACUGCAUCUAAAACUGCUAGGCUAGAGUAUGGUAGAGGAUGGCGGAAUUUCCUGUGUAGCGGUGAAAUGCGUAGAUAUAGGAAGGAACAUCAGUGGCGAAGGCGGCCAUCUGGACCAAUACUGACGCUGAGGUGCGAAAGCGUGGGGAGCAAACAGGAUUAGAUACCCGAGUAGUC
rnacentral:rRNA from 1 species